UACGAAGGGGGCAAGCGUUGUUCGGAAUUAUUGGGCGUAAAGGGUGCGUAGGCGGUUUGGUAAGUCUGAUGUGAAAUCUAUGGGCUCAACUCAUAGUCUGCAUCGGAAACUGCCGGGCUUGAGUGUGGGAGAGGUGAGUGGAAUUCCUGGUGUAGCGGUGAAAUGCGUAGAUAUCAGGAGGAACACCUGUGGUGUAGACGGCUUUCUGGACCAUAGCUGACGCUGAGACACGAAAGCGUGGGUAGCAAACAGG
rnacentral:rRNA from 1 species